UGAUUUUAAAAUGUUUUAUUUAUUAACAAUGAAUAAAAAUCAAGAUCAAAUAUUCAACAUCAACGGAAUAUAAAAAAGAAAUUAAUGAAGAAACAUUGAAAUCUUUUAGGUAAGAUACAUUUCCAAAUAUAUGGCUCUUGUCCUUUGUCUGCAAAUAAUGAACAACCCUUUCUGGUUGGCUAAAUGAAUCUCUCGACUAAUUCAUACAGCCUUAAAGAAUCACAUAGAGACGCCCAUCCAGUGAUUCUUUUCUUUACAUGGAUGAUGCGUCAAAUGCUUUCAAAGAAUAAACAUACCAAAGCUUUUUAAUGUCUCAACCUUAUUGCCAUUGCAAGGAAUUCACAUCUUGUGAAGAAGAUACAACUGAUCAUCAUAUAAAUGCAAGAAACUUUAACCGGGACACAAAUUUGCAGAAUUGAAACUCCAAUGAACAUAGAAAUACAUCAAAGUCAUUCAUCACCGUACUGUAAUAAAUUCAUAACUUUAGCAGGGGGCACAAAGUUGUAGAAUUGAAGCUCCAAUGAACAUAGGAAUGCAUCAAAGUCAUUCAUCACCGUACUGUAAUGAAUUUGUAACCUGCACAGAAGAUGCACCUGAUGAUUAUCAUUAUAUGAAUACAAGAAACUUCAGGGGAGAGAGACAAAUUUGUGGAAUUGAAGCUCCAAUGAACAUAGGAAUGCAUCAAAAUCACCCAUCACCAGAUGAAAUCCUGUCUGAAAAUAGUCCUCCCGGCACCUCAAGUGCACAAGACCACGCUCCAAUGAACAUAGGAAUGCAUCAAAGUCAUUCAUCACCGUACUGUAAUGAAUUUGUAACCUGCACAGAAGAUGCACCUGAUGAUUAUCAUUAUAUGAAUACAAGAAACUUCAGGGGAGAGAGACAAAUUUGUGGAAUUGAAGCUCCAAUGAACAUAGGAAUGCAUCAAAAUCACCCAUCACCAGAUGAAAUUAAAGCUUCCCCUCAUUGAAGAGUAUCAAAUUUGCCCCCCAAUCCCAUCACUAAAUACUCAGAUCUUCUUCUUCUUCUUUUCCACGACCUCACUCCUUCAAUGGUAUUUUUUAUCAUCAUCGAGUAAUGCAUUUUAUAGGCAUGAAUACUCUGAGUAGUUAGUGUUGGUAGUUAGAAUUAAUACAGUUGCAAUAACCGUAUUUUAAAUUUUUUCCCUUCUACUUUUAACAGUUUACUAUUGUGAGUGUUCUUGAUGGUCUUCAUAGGAAAUGAUUUUUUGCUUUUAUAUUGAAGUUAAAAUCGUCCAUCGUCUUUUACUUGUUCUUCCUUUUAAUUUUCCAAAAUUUACUUUACAAUUUUUUACUUCUACUUUGAACUGUUUACUUUUGUAGGAGUUUUUCCUAGUCUUCAUCUUCUACAUUUUACAUUUAAAUUACUUUAUCUUAAUGAUCUACCUACUAUAUUUGUUUUUUUUAUUUUUCGUGUUCUUGUUGUUUUGAGAUUUGUUUACUUGAUUUUACUUUCAAAUUUUUUAAUUUACUAUCAACUAAUUCCUUUUUUAGGUGUUACUGUAUAGGAAAUCAUCAACCAUUCACUGUGUUUAAGGUGUGUGUCGCGGCAUAUUUCAACUCUGAAAAUAGGUACAACACAUUACAUUUAUUUUUAAACAGAGUCUGAAAAAUGGGUUGUUUUCAUUUUUAAAAUAUUUACUACUCUUUGAUUAUCUGUAUUUUAUCCUUAUUAUUCAUACAUGAUUCAUUUCAUGUUCUUGUUCUAACUCAAAUACUUCAUACAUUUCAUUUUCAUUUCUCUACUUCACUACAAUUUAUACUACAUUGAUCUACAAUAAUUCAUGCAGUUGGUUGUCAUUUUAAUUUUUCAAUUUCUUCCAUCACAGUCUUCAGAUGUUCGUUAGUUCAUGCUAUUCUUCAAAUAAGUAUUUCUAUUUUUGAAUUCAAUUUUUGGUUUUUUUCAAUCAUGGUCUUCAUAUAUUUGUUAGUUCAUGCUUUUCGGGGUCUCUUGAUUAACUCCAAGAGCAACCCCAUGGUAGAUCUUGAUAAACUUUAUAUGUUUUCUAAUGAAAUAAUUUUUUAUAAUUUUUUCCAUUUUCAUUCUUGCACUUGUUGUUCAUUGUCUUAAUUUAUCUUAUUUAUACUAAAUUGUUCUAAUUCAUUUCAUGCAGUUCCUCUUCAUUUUUAAUUUUUUUUUUCCAAUCAUGAUAUUCAUAUCUACCGAAUUUCAUUGUCUACUUUCAUGAUGAAAAUUUUCAGCAGAUUUCAAUUAUUUUCAAACUAUGAGUGAUUUAAGCAGAGAAAGAUCAGGAAAUGGGGGAGAUCUCAAAGUGAUCGAUCCCUCCUAAAAUGUUAUUAAUGUAUCUUAUAUACAAUUACAAUUAGGAGAAAUUAGUUCUAAAAACAGAAUAACUAACUUUCUGUUUAGACUAUCAUAAGUUUCUAGAUCUAAUUAGUUAAUUACAGAUUUAUUAACUAAUUACACAAAUACCCUUAUAAUUAUCACUAAUAGCCCCCCUCAAACUCAUCGAUGAGGUUGGCCUUUAGUUCCAUAAAUUGUGUUGGCCUUAAUGCUUUGGUCAACACAUCAACUUUUUGUUUGGUAUUUGGAAUGUGAUUCACUUCUAAAACCUUUUUCUCAACUCUUUCUCUCACAAAAUUGAAGUCAAGCGCAGCUAGCAUGUUUGAUUUUUGUGUGAAAAACCGGAUUCGCAGCCAAUUGUGUUGCUCCUAAGUUGUCGCACCAUAAUUUAUAUGGUUUAUCAAUCUUUAUCCCCAUUUCACUCAGUAAGUUUGCCACCCAAUCAAGUUCAGCAGUUGCUGCAGUGAUAGCUCUGAAUUCUGAUUUUGUGCUUGAUCUGGACAUUGUUGAUUGUUUAUGAGAACACCACAUCACUAGUGACUGACCCAUGUAUAUUAAGUAACCUGUCUGACUUUUUCUGUCUGUUUCAUCAGAUGCCCAGUCAGCAUCACUGUAUGCUGAAAUAUUACAGAUACUGGAUUUCUUUAGCACAAUUCCCAUGUCUUGAGUCCCUGAUAAAUAUCUGAGUACUCUCUUCAUCAUGAUCCAGUGUAUGUCCUUAGGCUUCUCCAUGAACUGAGCCAGUUUAUUUACUGCAUAAGAAAUAUCAUGCCUUCACAUGGUUAAAUACUGCAAGGAUCCUAUGAUUCUUCUGUAUUCAGUGGCUUUCUCUAUCACUUCAGCAUCUGAAUAAAACUGCUAACUACGCUGCAUUGGAGUAGAAAUAAUGGGUUUGAGAUUUAGAAAACCAUGUUUAUUCAACAAGUUGACCAAAUACAACUGUUGAUCAAAGAAUAUUCCAUCAACAUGUUUUCUCACUCUAAUCCCUAAAAAAUAUUCUAAAUCCCCACAUAAUCUAACUGCAAAUUCAGACUUUAAGGCAUCCAACACUUCUUGUAGUUUUGCUGAAUUUAAACCAGUUAUGACCAUGUCAUCUACAUAAACUAAAAUGUAGAUUAUAUCACCAUCAUUCUUCACAAACAAUGAGUCAUCAGACUAACAUGCAUUGAACCCCAUGCUGCUCAGAGAUUGUUUUAGGCGUCUAAACCAUAUUCUAGAAGCCUGUUUCAACCCAUAGAGUGCCUUUUUCAGUAGGCAAACAUGUCCAGGUCUAGCCUCAUCAAGAAAUCCAGUAGGCUGCCUCAUUACAAUUUUUUCUUCAAGCUGACCAUGAAGAAAAACAUUGUUGAUGUCAAUCUGUUGCAUCUCCCAUCCUCUGGAAAUUGCAAUUGUGAGGACUAUUCAGAUCGUCUUAGGCUUCACCACAGGACUAAAAGUCUCCACAUAAUCGCGUCCCUCCACUUGAUUAGUUCCAUUCGCUACUAAUCUUGCUUUUAGCCUCUCCACUGUCCCAUCAGAUUUUUCUUUCACUUUAAACAACCAAAUGUUAUUUAUAACAUUAUCAUUAGCAGAUCUGGGAAUUAAUUCUCAUGUACCAUUUCUCAUUAGUGAAUCAUACUCUUCUUGCAUAGCAACUCUCUAUUCUCAAUCUUGUAAUGCCACUUUCACAAAUUUUGGGACUUGCUUUUUAGUAGGUCUUAUUGACAACACAUACUUUGCAUUUCUUCUUUUCAUUUCUGCUCUUGUGAUUGGACCAUGGCCUGUCUCAACUUCCUUGACAGACUUAUGAGGCUGAUAUUCCUCACACUACAAAAAAAAGGACCUUGUAUGGCGGAUUUCCGCCAUCUAUACUUCAAUUGUUUAGAUGGCGGAUGUCCGCCAUCUAUUCUUUCAGUCCGCCGAGGAAACGUUUUGGCUCGACGGCGGUUCCAUUUUAUUUUCGAUGGCGGUGUUUAGAUGGCGGAAAUCCGCCAUCUAAACUAUCCCGCCCAAAAUUUCGAAUCUCCCCCAAACAAUAACCCGAUUACCCGAUUAAAUUGACUUAAGAUGGCGAAAAUCCGCCAUCUUAAGUAUUCGGGGACUCGGGCGGAAAAAGCCCGCCCAAAUUUCGAUUGGGCGGACUUUCACUUUAGUGCUGGCGGCACUUAAGUGUACUUACAUGGCGGAAAGUUUUGGGGUUUAUUAAAAACCCCAAAUCGACAGAACGCGGCUGUUCUGUCUGAAAUUGAAGAAAUCGCCGCCGCUGCCUCCCUGCUGCCCCCGUCGUCGUCGUUCCUCGCCGUCGGUUGUUCCUCGCCGUCGUUCCUCGCCGUUGCCGCAUCCCGCCGCAUCCUCGCCGGUUAUCUUUGAAGGUAUCAUUUUGAUAAUGGUUGUAAAUGGGUUUUUAUAUUUGGGUUUUGUUAAUUUUUUUAUUUUGUGAUUGUUUAUUGUUUUGAUUUGGGUUUUGAUUUGAUUUGUGUUGUCUAUUUUUUGUGUUUUGUGUAUUGAAUGAUGAUCUCUUAAUAUAUGUAAAUGAUGAUCUCUUAAUCUCUUAAUCUAAUUAGAAAAUACUAUAUUACUGUGAAUGAUCUCUUAGUCUAUAUGCGUUUAUGGUUUGUGUUUCUAUAUAUAUUACUGUGAAUGAUGAUAUGUUAAUUAAGAAUCCAUGUUUGUAAUAGAAUUUUGAGUGUAAUUGAACCCUUAUACUCCUACACACUCGUCGUAUUCCAAUUGUUCCUCUCUAUUCCCCGAUGACCUUCAUUGCUUAAAUACCACUUCAAGUUAACUUCAUUGGGAUUUGAUUUGAAAUAUGCUUUGAUUCUUCCGAAUCUUCGAUCUUCUAUUACAAACAUGGAUUUUUUUUGAUAUGUUAAGAAUUUCAAUGAUAUGUUAAGAAUUUCAUUUUGUUUUAAUUUCAAUGAUUUAAUUUCAAUAAUAGCCGUUUCCGCCGACUGCCUCUCGUUGUUUCUUCGCCGACGCCGGUUCCGAGGUCGCCUCCGUCCUGCCUUGAUUACGUCGCCUCGAUUGUCCGUUUUGGUGAGAUUUGAAAAAUCUUUUUAAUUUAGUUAAAUAAUUAUUAAUUUUUUAAAAUUAAUAAAUAAUGUAGAAAAUUAAUAAAAAUAAUUAUUUUAUUUAAAUAAUUAAUUAUUUAGUUAUAUCAUAAUUUAAAUACCAUGUUUUGAAAUAAAUUAAAAAUAUUUAAUAUUGUUCUUAAUUACUGUUUUGUAAUAAAUUUAUUAAUUAUUUCAUUUUCUGAUUAUAAAUGUUUUAAUUAAUUAUUUAAUUGAUUAUUUGUAAAUAAUUUAUAAAUUGAUUUAAUUAAAUAAAUUAUUUAUAUAAUGUUUUAAUUAACUAAUUAAAUUAUUGUUUUGUUGACUUGUUAUAUAUAGGUUUUGAAAUAUCAAGAAUGUAAUUAUAAAUUUGUUAAUUUGUUAAUUAGUAAUUAUGAAAUUGAAUGAUUUUAAUGAUUUUAAUUAAAUUCUAUUAAUAAUGAUUAAUUUGCAUGAAAUUAUAAUUACUGUUUCUUAAUAUAUAAUAAUUAGUCAUAUUUGAAAAUAAAAAUAAAAAUUACUGUUUCUUAAUACUGUUUUUAAAUAGUUAAAUAAUUAAUGUUUUUCAUAUUUUAAAUUAAUCAAUUAUUUUAAAAUUAUUUCAUGAAUUAAAAUAAUUAUUUCAUAUUUUAAAUUAAAAAAAUUAAAUUUUUUUUUAAUCAACUUAUUUGUAAAUUAUUUAAAUAAUUGUAAUUAAAUAUGAAUUUAAUUAAUAAUUUACAUGAAUCUAUAUCUUAAUUAAUUAUUUGCAUGAAAUAAAUUUGUUUUCAAUAUUUUAUGUUUUUAAAUUAUUUAAAAAAUAAUUAAAAUAAUUAAAUAAUUUAUGAUUUUAAAUAAUUUAAAAUUUAUAUAAAAUAAUUAAUGUGUUUUUAUUUGUUAUAGGUUUUUUAAAAUCAAGAUUGAAGUAAGUUUUCGAUUGAAGAAAAGCUAAUUUGCGGUAAAAAUUAUAUAAUUUGAUUUAAUCAAUUUAUUUUCAAAUUAUUUAAUUUAGUGUUAAAAUAAAUGAUUAAAUUAUCUGAUUGACAAUUCUAUUAAUAAUUUAGUGUUAAAAUAAAUAAAUAAUUCUAUUAAUAUUUUUUUAUUAAUUGAUUGACAAUUAUUAAAUAUUAAUUUUUUAGUAAUGAAAUGUUAAUGAUUAAUUUGUAUAAAUUAAAAAUUUGUUAAUUAAUUAAUAAUUAUUAAAUUAAAAUGUUAAUGAAUAUAAUUUGCAUGAAAUUAUAGAAAUCAUAAUGAAUAAUUAUUCAAUUGAAUGAUUUUAAAUUGAAAUAAUAAUCAUUAAUUUGCCAUGAAAUGACUAAUUUAUUAUUUGUUUGUUUAAAAGUUAUUAUAUUAAUUAAUUUAAUAUUUUUUUAGAUUUUAAGAAAUGCCACUUAGAGUGAAGCAAUUACCUCGUAGGAGGGCUCUACCACCCCGUGAAGCAAUUACUUAGAGUGAAGCAUAUUGGAGAAGCUGCCAGUAUGGUGAGCACAACAAACGAAAGAUGGGCUUCUCUAAAUUGGAAAGGAAAAGAGCCGAUCUCAGAAAGCACGACUGUUGAUCCAACACCAGAUGCAGUUUGGUCGGAAAAAUUCAAAGCAUUGGAGGUAUUUACAAUAUAUUUCAAUAAUUUUGUUGAUUACCGAACUCAUUUUUGUUUUCAUUUUCAGAACAAGUGUAACGAGAGUCAAAAAGACGUCUCCAAAUACAAGAAGAAGUUCAAUGCUAUGAAAUCAUAUAUGAAGAAACUGAAUAAGACUUUGAAGACUUCUGGACUCGACAUGAUGCAGAUGGUUUCUACUUCAAAGUCCACAAUACCGUCUGCAUUCGGAUCAGAUAUUUCUGAUUCUGAUUCAGAAGACUCGCUUUCAGACGAGUGUUGAUUAAACUAUUUUUUUUUUCUUAUUAAAACUUCGAAUGUUUAACGAUUAUGUAAUUUAAUUUCUUUUUAAUAAAAAACAUCGAUUUCAAUUUCUAUUACGAAAUCGUUUUCUCAAAUAUCGAUUUUAUUUCAAAAAACGACGAUUCGAACGCACAAUAUAGAAUCCUGUUUUUAAAAAAAAUGUAACAAACAUUGUAUGGCGGAUUUCCGCCAUCUAAACUCUUCUACUAAGUUUUAGAUGGCGGAAAUCCGCCAUCUAAAGCUGGGCACAAUCGCCCUCUCCGACGAAUAGAUGGCGGAUAUCCGCCGUCUAUAAACUAAUGAAACCGACUGCGUAACUUUAGAUGGCGGAAAUCCGCCAUCUAAAAUUCCAAGGAUAGUCGGCGGACAUUCGCCGUCAAUGAAAUUAACCGCCAUCAAUGAAUUGGCGCCAAACUAUUCCCGCGCCAUAUUUUAGAUGGCGGAUUUCCGCCAUCUAAAACUUUUCAAUUCGCGCCAAAAUUUUCAGAUUAGAUGGCGGAAAUCCGCCAUCUAUACUAUUUUUGGUGGGAAAUGGGGAUGGAUAAUAGAUGGCGGUUUUUAGAUGGCGGUUUAUGGGUUUUAAUGGCGGUGUCCAAGAUGGCGGGCUUUAGAUGACGGAUUUCCGCCGAGGAUCACUUUAGAUGGCGGAAAUCCGCCAUACAAGGUCGGAUUUCUUGUAGUGUCAUCAGAUGAGGAUUCUGAAUUUUCUAAUGCUUUGUCAUCAAUUGCUAAAUCAUCUGUCAACUCUUAUUGCUCAAAAUCUGCCUCUAGUGGAUGCUCUGAGGGGCCAGGGGACUGUGGUACUGUAACUUUCUCAGCUGCAUUUUUCUUUCUUGCAUAUGUUUGAAGGACUGGAGGUGUAGGUUCUGAGGCUGUCCCUGACACAGAUGUUGGUGCAAUAUCCUCCUGUUCAGAUUCAUCCUCUGAGCUCUGUUUAGAUACUUCUGCCCUAUUUUUUUUAGACGGAAAAUUAUUCUCAACGAACACCACAUCCCUUGAUAUCAUUGUUCUUCCAUCCUUCAUAUUCAUGCAUAUAUACCCUUCACAAUUGACAGGGUAUCCUAGGAACAUACAUUGCACAGAUUUGUCUCCCAACUUAUUCUCUCUGUAGGGCCUCAUGUUUGGAUAGCAUAUUGAUCCAAACACCUUCAGCUUAAAAUAUUCAGGUGCUUUAUGAUGCAUUGCUUCAUAUGGGGAAAUUCCACCUAAAACUUUUGUGGGAUUUCUGUUGUAAAGAUGUAGUGUUGUCAUGAAUGCAUAGUCCCAAAAAUGUUCUUCUAAACCAGCAUGAUUAAGCAUAGCUAGUCCUGUAUCAACAAUGUGUCGAUGCCUUCUCUCCACCUUCCCCAUCUGAGGGUGCGUGUGUGGAUAGCUUAAGAGAUGAACAAUCCCAUUACUCCUAAGAUAGGUAGAUAGUUUCAGAAACUCUUUUGCAUUAUCACUUUGCACUGCCUUGAUUUUAUACUCAUACUGUCUUUCUAUCAGCUUCUGAAACUGCAUAAAACAGUCCUCAACCUCAGAUUUUCUUUUCAUUAAGAACAUCCAAUUAUAGCUAGUAGAUGCAUCUACAAAGUUAAUGUAGUAUCUAUAGCCUUCUGAAGAAUCAGUGGGUGCAGGCGCCCAUACAUCAGCAAACACAAGCUCUAGUGGAUGACUAUAAACAGUAGAUCUUAUGGAAUGCUUUAAUUUUUUAGAUUUCGUAAUGCAAUAAUUCUGACAUGAUUUAUGAAUUGUUUUUACAUCAGAUACUACUAUCAUUUUAUUUUGGCGGUACACGUAUGUUUCUUGUGCUCUCUUCAGGGGGGAGUACUGGCGAGACAUGCCUGAUUACGUCAGUCACUCCCUUCAACAAAGACUAGGGUUCCGUCGCUAUAUGCCGGACCCCGGAAGGCUUCCACGGUGCGGAGCACGUGUCUACGUCAAGAACUCAAGGCAACACCUGGGAGUCACCGACUGGGACUACCAAGUCGCCGACUCCAUCCAGGGAACUCGGGUCUGGUAGACCGAGGACCUGGCCUCAAAAGAGUCGGCGACUCCACCUCUGGGUCGGCGACUCCCAUACCUGAGUCGUCGACUCCCAGCCGUUACUUGGGCGGGCCCACACCAUUAUGGCGCCCUUCAAUAGGGUACCAUAAUGGGGUGGGCUCCACUCUAUUGAAUGGAAACGCCUCCAGGACCCUAUAAAAGGGGUCCUAGGGGUAUCCUCCAUUCAGAUAUUAUCUUGACAACCUACACUCCACACUAGAGCAUCCAAGGAGCCUGAAUCGCCUACUCCCAAGAGAGUCACCGAUUCCCCUCCUCUUCUGCAGGUGUUUGACGUAGAGUGCGCGUCGUGGACUCCAAAGCCUCCGGCCCUUCUCGCAACCCCGCGAGCCCUACUGGUAGCAGAUUCCGUGCUUCAUCAGCUGGCGCCGUCUGUGGGACUAUCGAACCACGAUAUCCCGUCGUAAUCGCGAAAUUUUCUUCGCAAAGUUCAGCUCGAUUCCCUUAGGGUGAGUCGCUAACUUUGUGUCAAGGAAUCUUCGAUUCACACAGGCAAUCACCGACUCCACCUAGUGAGUCUCCGAUUGCGGGUUAUUCUGCUAGCUAAGAGUGUUGUCCACGGCCAGACUCGAAAGAAAAGCUACCUAAAGCAGUCAUCGAUUCCACUAGUGUGUGUCACUGAUUCCACCUUGUGAAUCACCGACACCCCUUGCGAGUCGUCGACUCCACUUGGUUCUUUCUCUCGUGCCAGUUCUAGCAAGCACUUGCGCUCUAGUUGGAACACGCUUUUGUCAACAAUGGCUUCUGAAAGGCAAAAGCAUGACUACCAUCUGAGGAACAAAGGCAAAUCCUCAAUGGUAGUUGAUAGGGCACAGACUGACCCUCCUCAAGAAAACAGGCAAGAAAGGCCUGAGGAGGUUCAAGCCAGUCUGCCCCCUCAGACAUCCAUCCCUCCCGCUUUAGAGGAGAGGUUGGUUAACUUCAUGGAUAACAUGGAACAAAGAGUUAACAACCUCGAGAAAAAGCGAGGAGCCAGAGGACCAUCGCCCGAGAAGGAGAAGGUGAAUCGGCCUCUCAUAAUUAUCCAUCUGGGGAGAAAAAGAAGAAUGGUCCAGAACCUUCAAAGUCAAGGGCUGGACCUAGUAAGAGUCACACUGAAAAGACUCUUACAACACGGUUCAUGGAAGACCUUCGUCGGAAGUUGGCUAGCAAUCUAGCCGCCAGCAGUCCGAUCGAAUUCCUGAGAAUCAAAAGCGCUCCUUUUCGUGAGGACCUUUUGAAGGUAUCUUUUCCACCAACCUGGUGGGUACCCAGGAUAGAAGCGUAUGAUAGUUCGGGUGAUCCAUGAGAUCACAUCAACCUCUACCUUAGUAUCUUGGAACCGCAAACCACCGAUAACGCGCUGUUGUGUCGGGCAUUCCCCGACACUCUCAAGGGCAGCGCCUAUCGGUGGUUUUCCGGUCUGCCAGCUGGAUCAAUCUCCAUCUUUGCGGACCUCUCAUCCAAAUUCAUCGCCCAACAUGUGGGGAUGAUUAGAAUCAAACAUAGUGCCAACGCACUACUGGCACUACGACAGAACAAGCUGUCGUUAAGGGAUUACACUAUUAAGUUCACUUCAAUGAUGACAGAAGUGAGCGACUUAAUCCCGAGUCUGGCCAUAGCGGGAUACACGAAUGGGCUAGUACCCUACUCCCCUUUGGCCCAGCAUCUCACUCUCCAUAAGGUGGAGACUCUGUCUGACCUCUUCCAGCGAGCCCAAUCGUUUAUUGAGGUGGAAGAGCAGAAUGAGAACAAGCUAGUGGAACUUGAGAACACUAGCUUCAAAAAACCAAAGUUCGAGAAAAAGAGCUACGGCGGAAAAAAUAGUUUCCGAGGCUCAUCGAACAAAUACACUAACAAUGCGGCUAAUUCCUACAAAAAGGAAUGGAAGCCCAAACACGAUUGAUGAAGCACGAAAUCUGCUACCAGUAGGCUCGCGGGGUUGCGAGAAAGGCCGGAGGCUUUGGAGUCCACGACGCGCGCUCUACGUCAAUGUACCUGCAGAAGUGGAGGGGAAUCGGCGACUCUCUUGGGAGUAGGCGAAGGGUGCCAUAAUGAAGGGUGCCAUAAUGACGUGGGCCCUCCCAAGUAACGGCUGGGAAUCGGCGACUCAGGUAUGGGAGUCGUCGAUUCAGAGGUGGAGUCGCCGACUCCCCAUGAGCCAAGUCGGCGAUUCACCCCUGGAGUCGGCGACUUGGUAGUCCCAGUCGGCGAUUCCCAGGUAUUUCCUUGACUACUUGAUGUAGACACUUCCUCCGCAUUUGUGGAACUCUCCGGGGGUUCGGCAUAAAGCGACGGAACCCUAGUCCUUGUUGAAGGGCGUUACUGGAAGUGACUGACGUAAUCAGGCAUGUCUCACCAGUACUCCCCCCUGAAGAGAGCAUGGAAAAACACUCGUGUACCGCCAGUAUCCCCCCAAGCAAGGUGAUCCUCAUCAAGGCCAAAGCGACAAGAUGGGAUUGAGUCAUUGCGCUCACAGCGACACAAAUGACUCCGUGUGGUCCAUGCACUAUCAGAUGGACUGAUUCACUAUCAGAAUCUAGUUCCAGGCCAACGGAAUUACAUGUUUAUAGUCCUACUCUGAUCAAGAGCGACUUUUGCUGUGUGGAUUCUGGCCGAAGCGACAGAAUGCGUGGAUUCACUAUUAGAAUCUGAUUCUGGCCGAAGCAACAGAAUGCGUGGAUUCACUAUUAGAAUCGGGUUCUGGCCGAAGCGACAGAAUGCGUGGAUUCUGGCCGAAGCGACAGAAUCUAGUUCACUAUCAGAACUGAUGUUUAUAAUCCACCCUGAUCAAGAGCGACUUUACGUCCGCAACGACGGUUACCCCAUAGGCCAAAGCGCAAGAUGGGUCGAGAUCAUUAAGCCAAAGCGACAAAAUGAUCUCCAAGUGUUGAAGAAUUAUUGAAGCCAAAGCGACAACAUAAUUCUUGGUCCAUUAAGGCCAAAGCGACAAAAUGGACCUGGAUCUAUUAAGGCCAAAGCGACAAAAUGGACCUGGAUCUAUUAAGGCCAAAGCGACAAAAUAGAUCCGAUUCUGGCCGAAGCGACAGAAUCAUGCCUGCAAAACAAAAAACAACCUGCAAAACAACUAUAUCAGUGUAAAGGAUAUAUUUAUUGAUUUACUGACCUUGCCGUGUGGAGCUGCCUCUCAUGCUGCUCCUCCUUAUGCUCAAUAAAUCCUUGAUUGAUCUGGCCGAAGUGACAGAUCUAUCAUGCUCAAAAAAUGUGACAGCUUCUGGCCGAAGCAACAGAAGUGCCGAGAGAACUUGUGAUACUCCCCUUGGAUUUCGACGACUUCUGGCCGAAGCGACAGAAGUAUCGGGAAGAGCUUGUAAUACUCCCCCCUUGAGAUCAUUAAGGCCGAAGCGUCAAAAUGACCUCUGGUCUAUCAAGGCCGAAGCGACGAGAUAGACCGACUCACUAUUAGAGUCUGACUCACUAUCAGAGUCUGGUUCACUAUUAGAACCUUUCCUGCAAAAAAGAAAACAUCCUGCAAAACAACUAGAUCAGUCCAAAAACGCAUAUUUAACUUAUUGAACUUACCGUGUGAUUUUACCUUCCUUGAUGCCUCUUCUUUGCUCAAUAAAUCCUUGGUAAAUCUGGCCAAAGCGACAGAUUUUACCGUGCUCAAUUUUUGACGACUUCUGGCCGGAGCGACAGAAGUGUCGGGAGAGCUUGUGAUACUCCCCCCGAAAUUUGACGACUUCUGGCCGAAGCGACAGAAGUGUCGGGAGAGCUUGUGAUACUCCCCCUCGAAAUGUGACGACUUCUGGCCGAAGCGACAGAAGCGUCGGGAGUACUUGUGAUAUUCCCCAUUGAAAAUGUGACUACUUCUGGCCGAAGUGACAGAAGCGUCAGGAGUACUUGUGAUAUUCCCCAUUGAAAAUGUGACUACUUCUGGCCGAAGCGACAGAAGCGUCGGUAGUACUUGUGAUACUCUUCAUUGAAAAUGUGACUACUUCUGGCCAAAGCGACAGAAGCGUCGGGAGUACUUGUGAUACUCUCCAUUGAAAAUGUGACGACUUCCAUCCCAAUUGACAGAAGUGUCGAGAGAGUUUGUGAUACUCCCCCUUGAAAUGUGAUGACUUCUAUCCCAAUUGACAGAAGUGUCGGGAGAGUUUGUGACACCUCUCCUCGAAAUGUGACGACUUCUAUCCAAAUUGACAGAAGUGUCGGGAGAGUUUGUGAUACUCUCCAUUGAAAAUGUGACGACUUCUGGCCGAAGCGACAGAAGUAUCGGGAGAAAGAGUUUGUGAUACUUCCCCUUGAAGCGAUUGUUAAUGGGCUAUCUUUUGUUUUAUUGCUAAUCUUUCAUAUAAAUUACCCUUUAAAUUGUAACUAAGGCCCGAAACUAGAUUCACAAGUCGUAAUUUAGCCACUCUGGACGUAAAUUAGACUCUGCUAACCCUAUUGCUAGCCACUCUGGGCGUAGACUUGGUCGUACGAAUCGUAGCUCAGCCUACGGUUAAAUUUACGGAUAAUUUAUACCUCCAGAUUAAUGUAGAGUUGUAAAAGAUAGCGCGAAUGAAAAAUCCGAAGGAUGCAAAUUUUUCAAACUCGAGGGUUACGUUUGUAAUUGUAAUUUACAAUUACAACUGACGUUUGAACCCUGAUGUUGGAGAGAGCUUGUGAUACUCUCUCUUGAAACGUGACGACUUCUGGCCGAAGCGACAGAAGUGUCAGAGAGAGCUUGUGAUACUCCCUCCUGGAAAUGUGAUGUUGUUUUACCCUGAGUCGGUGACUGGGUGUCCGAAUCGUCGACUCCUUAAGUUUUGGGUAACUGUGAGAAUUUUGAUGACUUCUGGCCGAAGCGACAGAAGUGUCGGGAGAGCUCGUGGUAUUCCCCCUCUUGUGAUGUUUUGAUAUUUUUGUAAUUUUUUGGAACUCAAUCAAUUAUUUUGCUUUCUUAAUUAAUUGUUUAUUUAAUUUAUUUUUUGAAUUGUAACUAAAACCCAAAACUAGAUUCACAAGUCGUAACUUAGCCACUCUAGACGUAAAUUAGACUCUACUAACCCUAUUGCUAGCCACUCUGGGCGUAGACUUGGUCGUACGAAUCGUAGCUCGGUCUACGGCUAAACUCGUGAAAUAAAUUAAACUUUACAACUAACUUAAGACUCGCAAAGCUAAUUGACGUAAUAAGUUGGAGAUACAAAAAUUAUCGGGAAUAAGACUUAGAACUUUUUUGAGAACCUAAGAUUCUAGAUUUCAUUCCCUAAUGUGUAGUUGAGCUCUGGCCGAAGCGACAGAGUAACUUUUGGACCCGCCUCAAGGCCAAAGCGACAAGAUGGGGUAGGAUCGUUAAGGCCAUAGCGACAAAACGAUUUAAAUCUAUUAAGGCCAUAUUGACAAAAUAGACUUUUGUAUUGUGGGUACAUAGAACCUCUUGGGGUUAGGUUCAUUUGUACUUAUCAACUACCUAAGACUCUACACUUAUACCCUAAUGUAGUUGAACUCUGGCCGAAGCGACAGAGUAACUUUUGGAUCUGCAUCAAGGCCAAAGCGACAAGAUGGGAUGAGAUCAUUAAGGCCAAAGCGACAAAAUGAUCUCCAAGUCUAUCAAGGCCAAAGCGACAAGAUAGAAGAAUUAUUGAGGCCAAAGCGACAAAAUAAUUCUUGGUCCAUUAAGGCCAAAGCGACAAAAUGGACCUUGAUCUAUUAAGGCCAAAGCAACAAAAUAGAUUUCUAAUAUAGGGUACUAGUUAGAGUCGUAGGUAGUGAUUUCGAAAGAGUGUCACAAAAAUAAAAUCUAACUAUUUUAUUUUGUAACUUGUACUAGCAUAGAGACUAAGAGACUACAAUUUAGGACUACAAUUCUAGACUUGAACCCUGGCGUAUUAGUCAAGCUCCGGCCAUAGAGACAGAGUGACUCUCGAUCCUUAUCAAGGCCAUAACGACAAGAUGGGAUAGGAUCAUUAAAGCCAAAGCGACAAAAUAAUCCUUGGUCUAUUAAGGUCAUAGCGACAAAAUAGAUUGAAAACGAGGGUAUCGUUGAUUGUAGUCGAAAAUUUAGAAUCUCGGGGUUAGAUUCGUAAAUGAGAGUCUGAUUUAGAUUCUUAAGUCGCACUUUGGACUCAUAAAUCGUAAACUAGACUUGUGAUCGCCAUUUAGCCACUCUGGAAGUAAAUUGGAUUUUUUAACCAUCGCUUAGACUCGCGGGUCGUAAGCUAAGUCUGAGCAACGGGUAUCAUCCAGCUAAAGCGAUGGAUGAUUAUUCUAAAUACGAUACUGCAUAUAUCUCUACGGAUUAAAAAGAGAUUUAUUUAGAAUAAUAUCGCUAUUGAGAAUACAUGAGAAUAGUAUGAGCGACAAACAAAAGAAUUAACGUGUUUUUUGGUCGCUGGUUGCCACUGACAGAAGCAUAGCCUGCAUGGUUACUCUGGCCAAUCCUAUCUCUUAACAGGUGAUAGUUCCUCACUACUAGCGUGAUGUACUUGAUUGCGAGUGUGAACUGUGGCUCUGGUUGCCAUCACUGUCAUAGGAUUGAGAGCGUGGGCUAUGGUCAUAACUGUUACUGGGCCGAGAGUGUGAGCUAUGGCUUUCUUGGCCAGACUGAGAGUAUGAGUUAUGACUUUGGUGGUCACAACUGCUGAUGAGAAGCUCCUCUCUGUAUCGAGGAGGACUAGUCGAGGUUUCAGACUGGGAACUUGUAUCCUCAUAUGUAUCUUCUUUAGCUUAGCGAGGUUUUUUCCGGCUGGGCGGCUCGACUCCGUCCAGCUUAUUAUUGUUCUCCUCUUCUAUCUCAAUGAACGAUUGAGCUCGUUGGAAGAGGUCGGGGAGGGUCUCCACUUUAUGGAGCGUAAGGUUCUGGGCCAAAGGGGAGUAGGGUAUUAGCCCAUUCAUGUACCCCGCUAUGGCCAGACUCGGGAUUAAGUCGUUCACUUCUGUCAUCAUCGAAGUGAACUUAAUCGUGCAAUCCCUUGAUGAAGCACGAAAUCUGCUACCAGUAGGCUCGCGGGGUCGCGAGGAGGGCCGGAGGCUUUGGAGUCCACGACGCAUGCUCUACGUCAAUGUACCUGCAGAAGGGGAGGGGAAUCGGCGACUCUCUUGGGAGUAGGCGAUUCGGGCUCCCUGGAUUGCUCUAGUGUGGUGUGUCAAGUAGGAAUGACCUGCAAGUAGAGGUCCUCUAAGGACCCCUUUUAUAGGGUCCUGGGGGACGUUUCCCCAUUCAUUAGCGUGGGGCCCACCCCAUUAAGGUGUCCUAUUGAAGGGUGCCUUAAUGACGUGGGCCCACCCAAGUAACGGCUGGGAGUUGGCGACUCAGGUAUGGGAGUCGCCGAUUCAGAGGUUCUGUCGUCGACUCCCCAUGAGCCAAGUUGGCAGUCUACCAGAACUGACCACGAGGCCUAGAGUCGGCGAUUCACCCCUGGAGUCGGCGAUUCACCCCUGGAGUCGGCGACUUGGUAGUCCCAGUCGGCGACUCCCAGGUGUUGCCCUGAGUACUUGACGUAGACACUUCCUCCGAAUUCGUGGAACUCUCCGGGGGUCCAGCAUAAAGCGACGGAACCCUAGUCCUUGUCGAAGGGCGUUGCUGGGAGUGACUGACGUAAUCAGGCAUGUCUCACCAGUACUCCCCCUGAAGAGAGCAUUGCAAAACACCCGUGUACCGCUAGUAUCCCCCCCCAAGCAAGGUGAUCCGCACCAAGGCAAAAAGGGACAAGAUGGGAUUGAGUCAUUGCGCUCACAGCGACACUAAUGACUCCGCGUGGUCCAUGCACUAUCAGAUGGACUGAUUCACUAUCAGAAUCUAGUUCCAGGCCAAUGGAACUACAUGUUUAUAGUCCUACUCUUAUCAAGAGCGACUUUUGCUGUGUGGAUUCUGGCCGAAGCGACAAAAUGCGUGGAUUCACUAUUAGAAUCUGAUUCUGGCCGAAGCAACAGAAUGCGUGGAUUCAUUAUCCGAAUCGGGUUCUGGCCGAAGCGACAGAUCGCGUGGAUUCACUAUUAGAAUCUGAUUAUGACCGAAGCGAUAGAAUCUAGUUCACUAUUAGAACUGAUGUUUAUAGUCUACCCUGAUCAAGAGCGACUUGGUGUCCGCAACGACGGUUACCCCAUAGGCCGAAGCGCAAGAUGAGUCGAAAUCAUUAAGGUCAAAGCGACAAAAUGAUCUCCAAAUGUUCGAAAAACUAUUGAAGCCAAAGCAGCAACAUAAUUCUUAGUCUGAUUCUGGCCGAAGCGACAGAAUCAUGCCUGCAAAACAAAAAACAACCUGCAAAACAGCUAUAUCAGUCUAAAGGAUAUAUUUAUUGAUUUACUGACCUUGCUGUGUGGAGCUGCCUCUCAUGCUACUCCUCCUUUUGCUCAAUAAAUCCUUGAUUGAUCUGUCCGAAGUGACAGACCUAUCAUGCUCAAAAAUGUGACAGCUUCUGGCCGAAGUAACAGAAGUGCCGGGAGAACUUGUGAUACUCCCCUUGGAUUUCGACGACUUCUGGCCGAAACGGCAGAAGUGCCGGGAAGAGCUUGUGAUACUCCCCCCUCGAGAUCAUUGAGACCGAAACGUCAAAAUGACCUAUGGUCUAUUGAGGCCGAAGCGACGAGACAGACCGACUCACUAUUAGAGUCUGACUCACUAUCAGAGUCUGACUCACUAUUAGAACCUGGUUCACUAUUAGAACCUUUCCUGCAAAAAAGAAAACAUACUGCAAAACAACUAGAUCAGUCCAAAAACUCAUAUUUAACUUACCGUGUGAUUUUACCUUCCCUGAUGCCUCUCCUUUGCUCAAAUUGAUCCUUGGUAAAUCUGACCGAAACGACAGAUCUUACCGUGGUCAACUUUUGACGACUUUUGGCCGGAGCGACAGAAGUGUCGGGAGAGCUUGUGAUACUCCCCCCGUAAUGUGACGACUUCUAUCCAGAUUGACAGAAGUGUCGGGAGAACUUGUGAUACUCCCCCCGUAAUGUGACGACUUCUAUCCAGAUUGACAGAAGUGUCGGGAGAACUUGUGAUACUCCCCCCGUAAUGUGACGACUUCUAUCCAGAUUAACGGAAGUGUCGGGAGAGCUUGUGAUACUCCCCCCGAAAUUUGACGACUUCUAUCCAAAUAGACUGAAGUGUCGGGAGAGCUUGUGAUACUCCCCCUCGAAAUGUGACGACUUCUAUCCAAAUUGACGGAAGUGUCGGGAGAGCUUGUGAUACUCCCCCCGAAAUGUGACGACUUCUAUCCAAAUUGACGGAAGUGUCGGGAGAGCUUGUGAUACUCCCCCCGAAAUUUAACGACUUCUAUCCAAAUAGACAGAAGCAUCGGGAGAGUUUGUGAUACUACCCAUCGAAAUGUGACGACUUCUAUCCAAAUAGACAGAAGUGUCGGGAGAGCUUGUCAUGCUCCCCCUCGAAGAUUGUGCCCUUGCGGCACACAAACUUUUGGGAUGAGUCUUUUUCGAAGUACGUGACUGUCGGUGAGCUAUCUAUUGUUUUUCUUUUGCUAAUCUUUCAUAUAAAUUACCCUUUAAAUUGUAACUAAGGCCCGAAACUAGAUUCACAAGUCGUAAUUUAGCCGCUCUGGACGUAAAUUAGACUCUGCUAACCCUAUCGCUAGCCACUCUGGGCGUAGACUUGGUCGUACGAAUCGUAGCUCAGCCUAUGGUUAAAUUUACGGAUAAUUUAUACCUCCAGAUUAACGUAGAUUUACUAGAGAUAGAGCAGACGACGAAUCAGAAAUAUUCGACACUCAACGGUUGCCUUGUAAUUUAGAACCCUAAUGAUGGAGAGAGCUUGUGAUACUCCCUCCUGAAGUGUGACGACUUUUGGCCGAAGCAACAGAAGUGUUGGGAGAGUUUGUGAUACUCCCCCCUUGAAUUUUGACGACUUCUGGCCGAAGCGACAGAAGUGUCGGGACAGCUUGUGAUGCUCCCCCUUGAAAACAUGCACUUGGGGCAGUUUUUAUUGUUAUCUUACCCGGAGUCGGCGACUGGAGGCCACCAGUCGGAGACACCUAUGGUCUGGGUAACUGCAGGGGGCCUUUUUGUUUUUUACCCCUGUGAGUCGGCGACUCCUAGCGUAACCGUCGGAUCUUUUUGGAAGAUCCUUGGGAUAUCUGGAGGAUAUACGGGGAAUAUUUGUAAAAUCUCCAAAUAAGGAAAUGUAUCUCACAGUGCUGUGAGAUUUUGUUUGGAGUCGGCGACAGUGGCGUGAUUUGGGGGAUUUGAAGAUCGAUUCCCGAUCUCAAAUUUUGCAAAUUUCGGAUUUUCUAGGGGGUUUUUGCAAUUUUCCCAAGGGCUAUAAAUAGUGAAGAGUUUUUCCCCAAAACCUCACAAUACUUUUUGCCUCCCUAAUCGCUUAAAACCCUAGAUUUUUAAGUCGCCGAUUCCCAAGUGAUCUUCCUCUGAAUCGACGAUUCCAAACAUGUCUUCCCCCGAUUCCCACUUGUCUCCCUUGAAGGAAGCUGAAACGUCCGCUUUCAUUGCGGAGAUGACCGCUGAGGGUCUCGAUGAGGUGUUGAACACCGUCGAGUCGCCGAUUCCCUCUCCUGACAGAGUGGUUGAGUCGGCGACUCCGGUCGUUCCACCUCCUAAUAUGGAUAUGAGUGCCUCUAUGCACGAACUGCUUGGCGCUUCGCCAGUGUCGGCGACUCCCCUUGUGGAGUCGCGACACAGUGCAAGGCCCUUGUAGUCGUGCGAGAGCCUCUCGAGCUGGGGGAGAUUCCCGAACCUUCUGUGUCGGCGAUUCCCAUCAUGGAGUCGGCGACACAUGCUGGGCCCAUCAAGGGAAAAUCCUUCAAGCGGAGAGGGCAAGGCUCAGCUGCCAUUGGGUCGGCGACUGCUGGUCGUGACUCACCGAUUCCUCUCAUUGAAUCGGCGACUCGAGUGCUAGAGUCAGCGACUCCCAUGCAGAUAGAUGACUCUUCUGCGCGUCACACCGCUCCGUUGGUUGUGAACGCGGAAGGUCGCAUUGUGUCGGGACUGAACCUGCGCCAAGGGCCAUCUGUGGAUGGUCCUUCUCUGAAAAGAAAAAAAAGACGCACCACUGGUAAGGGCAAAGUUCAUGUGCCCGAACAAGACGAGAGGGUCCCACCGCCCCUUAACAUAAACUUUGACGAGGCAUUAUUUGUGGACCGUGGUGCUUCCAAUCCACGCUGUAGAGCGAGCCGGCGCUCUGAAAGAACUCCGCCACCUCCCGUGGACUUGGAUUCCAGUCGAGAUCCGGACCUCGACUUGAACACAUACAUUGGAGCUUUGAACCCAUCUGGGUUCGCUCACUGUAAAGUUGCCGUGAACGGCGAACUAAGGUUGCUCCCUAUAGGCCGCUCCGGGGACGGCGAAUUCGAGCAAGUGAUGACCCAUGCCACCUUGGAUGGCUCUGACGGACUGAACCCCCCCUCUAACCUUAACGCGAGCGACGCUCGAGGCUUGUUAUCGGGGGUUCAAAUCUCUGGGCAUUUGCGAUUCUGGAUAUCGCGUUACCAGCCUGCAAAUCUCCCACCACCGGGAUUCCAGGCUAUCCCACGGAUCUACUUCAAGCACUUCUCUGAAUUACCGAUUCCGGAGAUAAUUAGUGAAGUGCUACUUACUUUUGAAGUGUCCCUGUCGCAGCUCCCGGCAGGAUUCUUCGUGAUUCUACGGGGAUUUUUGAAUAUCUGUUGGGGCCUGAGGAUUACUGCGACUGCCAGCUUGUUCCUUCAUUACUACAAGCUGACGAAAGAAAAAUUGGGAUCUGGUCGCGUCGGAUUUACGCGACGCCACUUUGAUAAGAAUAUCGUCGAUGAACUGCCGACGAACUUUGGAUGCAACUGGAAGAAGGAAUUCUUCUUCAUUACUUCUGAGUUUCUUCCCGGGAGUCGGGAAACGUGGAAUGAUCCCCAACGAGUGCAUAUGAAUGCUUCAAUUGGGUUGACUAUGAGGGAUAUCAAAGCCUCUGAUCGGAUAGCGCGGGCCCUGACUGACUAUUCCGUGCCGCGCGGUGUUCCCUUUGUCUUUUGCCAAAGGGAAGACUUCACUUUUGAGGACGUGGAAGAAGCUCAGCAACCACCAAUAGAGAGGGAGCUGGAGGGCGGAAAAAAGCGAUCGCUUUUAUACUUUGACGCCACUCCUCUCUACAUGUGCAAGCGGUUCCGAGAGGGCAAGCUCAUUCGAUUAAGGAAGAAGAGCAAGCGUGUUGAACCUCGUCGGACCUUCGAGAAGGGAUCAAGUUCUCGCUCUGCACAGCCACCCCCUACUGGUUACGUGCCCUAUACUUCUGGUGUGUCGCUUCCUGAUUUCAAUGCUGAUCCUGAAACUAGGAGGGAAGCGAUGUCACUCCUGAUGGGCCAGUCUGGGAAGUGGUGUCGGAGCGAGUUACUCAAACAUAUGACUGCCGCUUGCUACAAGGCACAUGCGUGCUAUCAUGCCGACUCCAUUCACGAUGUCGAAAAGAUUCAAGAAAGAUAUAAUCAGCUUGACACAAAGUUCAAGGAGAGCGAGAAAGCCAUGGGCAAGCUGAAGAAAGUGAAGUCCCGGAUGGAGAACCUGCGCGACAAUAAUCUGCCGAAGAAGGACAAGACGAUCGAGUCCAAGCAGAAAGAGAUAGAAGAAUAUGUCGCGAAGAUAUUGGGACUUCGCAAGGACCUGAAAACCAUCACUGCUGACCGUACUAAAGAGGUUGAAGGUUUGAAAAGUUAGCUAGCUGGUGAGAUUGGGCACAUAGUCUCACUUGAGGCUACCAUAGCAGAUUUGAGAAAGCAAGUCGCCUAAUACCAAGGAGAGAACACUGAGCUGAAGGGUGAGCUAGCUAGCGCGGAAGAGGAGAUCUUGGCGCUUAAGAAGGACAAAUCUGCACUCUCCGGGAAAUCUGAAGGAUUGGAGUUGGACGUGCGAUACCAAUCCGACCAACUUCAAGAGCUAAUCUUCUUUGGUCCUUCCGUGUUUCCCGCUCUUCCCCCUGACUACAUUACGGAUAUAAUGGCAUGGGUAGAGCAGCAUCCUGAGGAACUUGAGAAGAACAAGGAUGCUCUGGACAAGAUGAAGGACGAAACCGCUCAAGAAUAGCAACUUAUUAGUCCUUAGAUUUUUUUUGUAAUCUUGUUAUCAUUUUUGUAAUCUUUUUGAACUUAAUGAAUCGUUUUUGCUUUUUCUUUAUUAAUUGUUUAUUUACUUUACUCUUUUGAAUUGUAACUAAGACCCGAAACUAGAUUCGCGAGUCGUAAUUUAACCACUCUGGACGUAAAUUAGACUAACCCUAUCGCUAGCCACUCUGGGCGUAGACUUGGUCGUACAAAUCGUAGCUCAGUCUACGGUUAAACUCGCGAAAAAAAAUUAAACUUAACAACUAAUAAAAACUCGCAAUAUCGAUUAAACUAAUAAGUUGAAAACAAAAAAUAUUGGAGAAGAUAGCAAGAAAUAUCGUAAUGUUGGUAUAAACCUUAAGACUCUAGAAUUGUACUCUAGAUUCCUUACUAUGUAGUUCAACUCCGGCCGAAGCGACGGAGCAACUUUUGACCCAUAUCAAGGUCGUAACGAUGAGAUGGGGUGAAAUCGUUAAGGCUAUAGUGACAACACUAUUACUAACCUAUUGAGGCCGUAGCGAUAUAAUAGAUUUUGGUAUGUGUGGUGGGUACUUAGAACCUCUUGUGGUUGGGUUCACUUGUACCUAUCAACUACCUAGGACUCUGCUUUUAGACCCUAAUGCGUGGUUGAACUCUGGCCGUGGCGACAGAGCAACUUUUUGGACCCAUAUCUAGGCUGAAGUGACCAGAUUGGGUUGAAUCGUAAUGUAUUAAAAACGAUUUUAAUCUAUUAAGGCAAUAGCGACAAAAUAAAUUCAUAGUGUGGGGUGCUAGCUAGAGUCGUAGGUAGAUGAUAAAUCUAAAUUUUAUUAAGAAUGUAAAUUACAACAGUAAAAUUUGCAAUUUUAAACUAACAUAUAGACUAAGAGGUUCUAACGUGCUCAAUACUAAGCACGAUGUUGUUGUACGUUGUCCGUGUGCCAGAUGCAAGGACUUUUGGGUGACAGCUUAUUUCUAUUCCUCUUAGUUAUGCUAGCCUUCCUGUGGGUCUACCACCAAAUAGCAUAUGGAUGGUUUUCCGUGGGUGGUCCUCGCUAUUGUCGCUGUCUGGUGAAGGAGAGCGUGGGCGCUUCCCUUUUGUGUCAGACUUGCAAUCGUUUCGACCUCGGGAUCCUUUGACCAGGUUGUCAAGUUCGCCGUUCGAAAUUAAUUGCUCGACAUAAAGCGAGAAUUCCCUGCAAUAGUCCGUCAGAUGGCCGUGGUCCUUGUGGAAUUUACAGAAUCUUCCACUUUUGUGACGGCGAUCCUUGGUUGCAGGGCCCAUAGAGCGAGGAGCGGGCGCCCCCCUCGCUUUCUGAUGGCGCUUGUUGAACUCUUGCGUUCUCGCCACCAGGUAUUCCUCUACGUUAGACUCUCCGUGGGACCUCUCCAUGGCCUCCGCAAACGUCUUCAGCGGCUUCCGGACGAGGUCUCCUGCGAAAAACGUGGGUCUCAGGCAGUUGGUGAUGGCGUACAGGAUCACCUUUUCCGUUAGCCCCUCGAUUUCCUGCACCACCCCUGCGAACCGGUCCAUGUACGCUCGCGUGGUCUCGAAGUCCCUCUGCACUACCGCGCUGAGGGUGGCCUCGGUUUUUGGUCUCCUUCGCUUGUGGGCGAAAGCCGUCAAAAAGAUUCUCUCUAGGUCCUCAAAGGUAUGGACCGAGGCCGUAGGGGGCGUUCUGUACCAUGCCACGGCAUCACCGGCAAACGCUCUUCGGAACAUCCUGCACCAAAUAUCCUUCCUAUCGGUUCUAUCCUCCAUGUUCGUUUUGAAGGAGCGCAGAUGAUCGCUCGGGUCCGUAUCUCCCUUGUACGCGGGGAUCUUCGGAGUCGUCCAGCCAGCGGGGUACUCGCCCUCCAGCAGGUGUUUCGCUAGUGCUUCCCGGCUCACAGCUGCGGGUGUCAUGACUAUCGCCCCGCUCGCGGGAUCCCCACCUACGGCGCCGCCUCCAGCACCGUCCGACUCAAGCGCUCGGCGCUCGGCGGUCAGUUGGAGCAGCUAUUCCUGCAGUUGCCGUUGGCUGUUCUGCAGGGCGGAGACCAUUUCCGAUAACUUCACCUUAUCUGAACGCCUCCUCCGAUGACGCUCCCCCCUCUCUGUGGGAGUCCGGGAACGGUCCCGUCUCCCCCGCCUGUGCUUUCUCCCCUCCUUACGCUUGUCCUCCUCCUCAGCCUUCCUCGAGCGCCGGGACGUCUCCUCGGCCUCGGCCUUCUCCUUGCGCCGGGCCUUAUCUGCCUCCUCCAUUCUCACUCGCCACGCUGCCUCCUGGACCUCGAGUGCCCAGGCCAUGUUCCACUUUCUGUAUGAAAAGUAGGGCUCGGAUCUGUCUGGGUCUUCCCAUUCCUUUCGCCAUUGCUCAUUUCUCGUGGUGGUCGGGCUCAACUUCCUAACGCGAGCUUCCCUCUGCCCGACCUGCCCCGAGCCUUCCCCCCUGUGGAAACCGCUUCUUCCGACCAUCCUUCCUCCGGUUUUGUAUUUGCUUCACGUCCGGUUCACCACUGAUGGUGUGUGGGCACGCGCUAGGGUGCUCACACACACAACUCUAUAGUAUUACUGUUCCAGGUAACCGAUCCCCUCCCCUGUUGCACUAUGGGAAAUAUUUAUAACUCCUGCCCUAGGGCCUGACGGGCCUAACAGGCCUGUCUGGUUCAGGGUCCGACUUGAGGGGCCCUGGUACCAACAAAUAUAGAUUAUAUUUUUGGUCUUCUUUUUUCUGGUGCCAAAAUUCAGGUGGGUAGAAGUGAUGCUAUCAGCUAUUCUACUCCUUUUUGGCUCAAAUACUUCAACGUCAAACAUGUUACUAGGUAAUUUUAAUCAAUAUUCUAUUUUUUUAUUCUUAUUUCUUAAAAUUGUAUUUACAUUUACAUUUUCAAUGUCAACCAAAUAAUAGUAACACAAAUCACGCACUGCAACACAAAUCGCACGCAGGAAGGAAAGGGGAAAAAAAUCAAAAAAACCGUAUGAACCAAAUCGCGCACGCAGGAGGGAAUUCCACCGGCUGCUUCUACGAAACUCGACGAUCAGAAAUAACGGAAUCAAAAGAUCAGAAGAAGAAUCGCAAAUCAAAUCGGAAAAUCGCAACAACAAAAAAUCGCAAUAAGAAGAUUAGAAAAUCAGAACAAGAAUCGCAAUCCAGAUAACUCGGCGAUCAGAAUAUCGCAAGAAUCGCAAAAUCGGCAAGAAUCCGAUCGCAAAAUCCAAUCGCAAUCAAGAUACUCGCAGAUCAGAAUCAAAUAAUAAAAAAAAUCGCGAUCUAAGACUGCAAUCUCAUAGAAUCAAAUCAAGAUCUAAAAUUAAAAUGAAAUCUCAGAGAAUCUGAAAUCAAGAUCUAAAAUCAAACCUUAGACAAAUCAACGCGAAAGACACAAGCGCAGAUCGUCGCAACUUCCAAAUCCGAAGGCACGAACGCGGGAGAAUCGCAGAGGCGCUCGCGGGAGGGAUCGCAGUGACUUCGGGAGGGGGGAAAAAAUUAGUGAAGCAAUUGCUACCAUCAUAAAAAAGCUUAACACUAAUUGUAUUGAAUCAAAGAUUAAUUAAAAUACAAAAUGUCAAAUAUUCUUUUAUAAGAUUAAGUGUUAACUAACUAUCCUAUUACCACACUAAUUAAUGAUAUAGCUUCUAAUAAUAUUCUCUACGGUGCUUUAGUGAAAGAAACAUUUAAAUCUAUGGUUUUAUGUCGAAAUUUUGAAAAAGAAAAUAUCAAUGAUAUUUGUCGUCUUUGGUUUUGUCUUUUAUGCUCAUGUGUUUUUAACUCCUACAUCAAAAAUUAUGAUUCCACUAAAGUUAUUUCACUAUCUCGAAAAACUCGAGGAUAUAUCUAGUUUGAAUUGGUCAGAGUUGAUCUUUGAACAACUAUUUAAAAAUAUGAAGUCUGCAUGCUAUAUUAUAUUCGUCGACGUGCUAUUCUUUUAAAAUCUAAAUUUUAAUAUUAUUAUCAUUUCUCUAUAUAUUAUCUUCCAUUUUCAUUUUCCCUCUCCUCGCCGUCGUCGAAUCCAUCUUCACCUUUGAGUUUUCACCAAAAAAUUAUUUAAUGUUUUAUCUUAUUUAAUAUUUUAAGAAUUAUUUGAUCAAAUUAUUUAAAUAACAUGAUUUUUAUGCAAAAUUUUUAAAAAAUAUCAAACCAAACCCGACUUCCAAAUCGGAUUCGUGUUCUAUAAUUUUAAAUGUUCCCGAGUUUUGACCCGAACCUAAUUUCAAAAUUCAGAUUCGAAAGCAAAUAUGAGCCAAACCCGACCCAUGUCCAUUCCUACCGUUAGUUUCAUCGAUCUCAAUCCAAAUUCAGCUAGCCAGUCUCAAUCAAUUGUUCCACCUAGUUGGGUUUUACAUGCAAAAUAUCUUGCCAACAAGGCCGUAAGUAAAAUUUUUGGAAGAUGUGGCAUUUUUCUACAAAUAAAAUCAGCUAACGUAAUUUAACACUUUUAAAUUUAGUCCCACAUCGGAGAUUUAUUAUUGUGAUGGAAAUAGGAAGUAUUAUAUAUAAAUGAUAAAAUCAUUUUGAAGAACUCAUACCUUUCUCGGCCUUUUGGCUAAGAUCAAGUGUAGUAUCUGUUCUUAUCAGUUUAAUAUCUGAUAUGUGGAUCAUCGAUUCACACGAUAUUAAAUUUAUUUUUUUUGGGUGAAGAUCUGUUACAAUGGCUUGCUGUUGAGAUUUUCUGUUGUCGUCAUAGUUUUGCACUAUUGCUUUGACUGGCAAAACCCUCCUAAUUUUAAAAUUAAUUUUUAGUUUUUUUAUUCGAGAAUGUCAAAUAGCAGUUAGAUGGGUUUUAGAAAUUGGAAUGAUGGGUUUUAGACUUUGAAAAUAAGAGAUCUUAAAAUGUUUUUUUUUAUUAAAAAUGAAUAAAAAUCAAGAUCAAAUAUUCAACAUCAACGGAAUAUAAAAAAGAAAUUAAUGAAGAAACAUUGAAAUCUUUUAGGUAAGAUACAUUUCCAAAUAUAUGGCUCUUGUCCUUUGUCUGCAAAUAAUGAACAACCCUUUCUGGUUGGCUAAAUUUUAGACUUUGAAAAUAAGAGAUCUUAAAAUGUUUUUUUUUAUUAAAAAUGAAUAAAUAAAAAUCAAGAUCAAAUAUUCAACAUCAACGGAAUAUAAAAAAGAAAUUAAUGAAGAAACAUUGAAAUCUUUUAGGUAAGAUACAUUUCCAAAUAUAUGGCUCUUGUCCUUUGUCUGCAAAUAAUGAACAACCCUUUCUGGUUGGCUAAAUUUUAGACUUUGAAAAUAAGAGAUCUUAAAAUGUUUUUUUUUAUUAAAAAUGAAUAAAAAUCAAGAUCAAAUAUUCAACAUCAACGGAAUAUAAAAAAGAAAUUAAUGAAGAAACAUUGAAAUCUUUUAGGUAAGAUACAUUUCCAAAUAUAUGGCUCUUGUCCUUUGUCUGCAAAUAAUGAACAACCCUUUCUGGUUGGCUAAAUUUUAGACUUUGAAAAUAAGAGAUCUUAAAAAUCACAUAGAGACGCCCAUCCAGUGAUUCUUUUCUUUACAUGGAUGAUGCGUCAAAUGCUUUCAAAGAAUAAACAUACCAAAGCUUUUUAAUGUCUCAACCUUAUUGCCAUUGCAAGGAAUUCACAUCUUGUGAAGAAGAUACAACUGAUCAUCAUAUAAAUGCAAGAAACUUUAACGGGGCACAAAUUUGCAGAAUUGAAACUCCAAUGAACAUAAAAAUGCAUCAAAGUCAUUCAUCAUCGUACUGUAAUAAAUUCUUAACUUUAGCGGGGGGGCACAAAGUUGUAGAAUUGAAGCUCCAAUGAACAUAGGAAUGCAUCAAAGUCAUUCAUCACCGUACUGUAAUGAAUUCAUAACUUUAGCGAAGGGGGCACAAAGUUGUAGAAUUGAAGCUCCAAUAAACAUAUGAAUGCAUCAAAGUCAUUCAUCACCGUACUAUAAUAAAUUUGUAACCUGCAUAGAAGAUGCACCUGAUGAUUAUCAUUAUAUGAAUACAAAAAACUUCAGGGGAGAGAGGCAAAUUUGUGGAAUUGAAGUUUCAAUGAACAUAGGAAGGAAUGCAUCAAAAUCACCCAUCAUCAGAUGAAAUUAAAGCUUCCCCUCAUUGAAGAGUAUCAAAUUUGCCGACCCAUCACUAAAUACUCACUCCUUCAAUGGUAUUUUUUUA
rnacentral:lncRNA from 1 species